rnacentral:rRNA from 1 species
CCUACGGGAGGCAGCAGUGGGGAAUUUUGGACAAUGGGCGCAAGCCUGAUCCAGCCAUGCCGCGUGUGGGAAGAAGGCCUUCGGGUUGUAAACCACUUUUGUCAGGGAAGAAACGGUCUGAUCUAAUACAUUGGGCUAAUGACGGUACCUGAAGAAUAAGCACCGGCUAACUACGUGCCAGCAGCCGCGGUAAUACGUAGGGUGCAAGCGUUAAUCGGAAUUACUGGGCGUAAAGCGUGCGCAGGCGGCUUUGCAAGACAGAUGUGAAAUCCCCGGGCUCAACCUGGGAACUGCAUUUGUGACUGCAUGGCUAGAGUACGGUAGAGGGGGAUGGAAUUCCGCGUGUAGCAGUGAAAUGCGUAGAUAUGCGGAGGAACACCGAUGGCGAAGGCAAUCCCCUGGACCUGUACUGACGCUCAUGCACGAAAGCGUGGGGAGCAAACAGGAUUAGAUACCCUGGUAGUCCACGCCCUAAACGAUGUCAACUGGUUGUUGGACGGCUUGCUGUUCAGUACGAGCUAACGCGUGAAGUUGACCGCCUGGGGUGUUCGGCGCGAGGUUAGAACGUUACGAGNGAGUUAGAGGCGNGAGACGNGCGACGGCGACGACGAGGGAGGAGG